GCCCCGAAGGGGAAAGCGAAACUCCGAGCGGAGCGAACUCUUCUCCGUUUAGUUCCUUUCUCUCGCAUCCCCAGCGCGGGCCCCGCAAUCACCCCGGCCGACUCACGAAAGAUUCCGCAGGCUCACCUUCCGAACCCGCUGUCCCAGAGAGUCCGGAGGCCGCACCACGGAUAGAAUAAACCAGAGACCUCAACUAGUGUUGAGAAGCUCCAUUCUUUCCCCAAUGACUGGACAGUUAACGGGAAAGAGAGACUUGGAGAUACAACCGUCCUCCCUUCUUCCGGAGGACUGAGGCUUUUCCCGAACCACCCCCAGCUCGGUUUUCUCCCGAAAUGUGUUUUCCUCAUUUUGCAAAAUUCCUGCCCAGAUUUUAAUAUUACCAUACCUAGGAGAACAGAGCUUCCCAGUUUAAAAAUCGAAAACAAUAAAACCAGGGCGUCCUCUGUGAAUCUUUUCCUUUCACUCUUGCCUUCUACUUUUAAGAAAGCCGCAUCCCAAACCACCAUACUUCUUUCCUCCCCGAAGAGAACUCGCCUAAGAAUUCACUCCGUUUCCGUUUCUCCCCCGACGUGUCCCCGCCUGACUCAGAUCUCCAUGGAAAGCAGAAAGACUUUAGUAUCAUCCUUCCCAAUGUCUUCUUCAGUUCUCGGUUUCCUGCCUUUUGACCAGAAGAAUUCGCAAAUACUGGUGGUUAUUAUUAUUUCAGAAUAUCCAGUAUUCUCCAAUAUUUCCACCAAGAAUUAGCACUGCUACUUACUUUACCAAUUAA